UACGUAGGGGGCAAGCGUUGUCCGGAUUUAUUGGGCGUAAAGAGCGUGUAGGCGGCCAGGUAGGUCUGCUGUGAAAACUCGAGGCUUAACCUCGAGCUGUCGGCGGAAACCAUCUGGCUAGAGUCCGGAAGAGGAGAAUGGAAUUCCCGGUGUAGCGGGUGAAAUGCGCAGAUAUCAGGAAGAACACCCGUGGCUAAGGCGGUUCUCUGGGCCGAUACUGACGCUGGAGGAGCGAAAGCGUGGGAGCGAACAGG
rnacentral:rRNA from 1 species